AUUGAACGCUGGCGGCAUGCCUUACACAUGCAAGUCGAACGGCAGCACGGGAGCAAUCCUGGUGGCGAGUGGCGAACGGGUGAGUAAUGUAUCGGAACGUGCCCAGUCGUGGGGGAUAACGUAGCGAAAGCUACGCUAAUACCGCAUACGAUCUGUGGAUGAAAGCGGGGGACCGUAAGGCCUCGCGCGAUUGGAGCGGCCGAGAUCAGAUUAGGUAGUUGGUGGGGUAAAGGCCUACCAAGCCGACGAUCUGUAGCUGGUCUGGGAGGACGACACGACGCACUGGGACUAAGACACGGCCCAGACUCCUACGGGAGGCAGCAGUGGGGAAUUUUGGACAAUGGGCGCAAGCCUGAUCAGCAAUGCCGCGUGCAGGAUGACGGCCUUCGGGUUGUAAACUGCUUUUGUACGGUGCGAAAAGGCUCUCUCUAAUACAGGGGGCUCAUGACGGUACCGUAAGAAUAAGCACCGGCUAACUACGUGCCAGCCGCCGCGGUAA
rnacentral:rRNA from 1 species